GUUGUGAAAUGUUGGGUUAAGUCCCGCAACGAGCGCAACCCUUAUCCUUUGUUGCCAGCGGUCCGGCCGGGAACUCAAAGGAGACUGCCAGUGAUAAACUGGAGGAAGGUGGGGAUGACGUCAAGUCAUCAUGGCCCUUACGACCAGGGCUACACACGUGCUACAAUGGCGCAUACAAAGAGAAGCGACCUCGCGAGAGCAAGCGGACCUCAUAAAGUGCGUCGUAGUCCGGAUUGGAGUCUGCAACUCGACUCCAUGAAGUCGGAAUCGCUAGUAAUCGUGGAUCAGAAUGCCACGGUGAAUACGUUCCCGGGCCUUGUACACACCGCCCGUCACACCAUGGGAGUGAGUUGCAAAAGAAGUAGGUAGCUUAACCUUCGGGAGGGCGCUUACCACUUUGUGAUUCAUGACUGGGGUGAAGUCGUAACAAGGUAACCGUAGGGGAACCUGCGGUUGGA
rnacentral:rRNA from 1 species